UACGUAGGGUGCAAGCGUUGUCCGGAAUUAUUGGGCGUAAAGAGCUCGUAGGCGGUCUGUCGCGUCUGCUGUGAAAACUCAGGGCUUAACCCUGAGCUUGCAGUGGGUACGGGCAGACUAGAGUGCGGUAGGGGAGACUGGAAUUCCUGGUGUAGCGGUGAAAUGCGCAGAUAUCAGGAGGAACACCGGUGGCGAAGGCGGGUCUCUGGGACGGUACUGACGCUGGAGACGCGAAAGCGUGGGGAGCGAACAGG
rnacentral:rRNA from 1 species